GGGGUUAUGGCGUAACCAGGCAGCGCGGCUGGCUCCAGGUCCCCGAAAGGGAGAAAGUAACCAGCAUGUUAGAGUUCAAAUCUCUAUAACCCCAC
rnacentral:tRNA from 1 species